rnacentral:miRNA from 1 species
AGGAUUCUGAUGAUAAGGUUG